rnacentral:rRNA from 1 species
AUGGAACAAUGUAGGCAAGGGAAGUCGGCAAAACGGAUCCGUAACUUCGGGAAAAGGAUUGGCUCUGAGGACUGGGCUCGGGGGUCCCGGCCCCGAACCCGUCGGCUGUCGGCGGAUUGCUCGAGCUGCUCACGCGGCGAGAGCGGGUCGCCGCGUGCCGGCCGGGGGACGGACCGGGAAUCGCCCCUUCGGGGGCUUUCCCCGAGCAUGAAACAGUCGACUCAGAACUGGUACGGACAAGGGGAAUCC